rnacentral:rRNA from 1 species
CAUGGAGGGUGAGAAUCCCGUUCGGUUGAUCAGGUGCGUUUUACGAUACGCUUUCAAAGAGUCAAGUUGUUUGGGAUUGCAGCUUAAAAUGGGAGGUAAAUUUCUCCUAAGGCUAAAUAAUGGCGAGAGACCGAUAGCGAACAAGUACCGUGAGGGAAAGAUGAAAAGCAUUUUGAAAAGAAAGUCAAAUAGCACGUGAAAUUGUUGAAAGGGAAACGAUUAAAGUCAGUCGUACCGAUGGACAUUCAACCUCUUGAGUGCGAUUAUGUCGGGUGUUGAGGAGCUUAACCGCCUUCGCGCUUGCGUAUUUGUGCUCUACGGGUGUACUUGUUCGUAUGGUAGGUUAACAUCAAUUUCGGUCGUCAUAAAAUGGCGGGAGGAAUGUGGCUUCGAUCUCGUAUUGAAGUGUUAUAGCCUCUGGUAGAUGUGGUGACCGGGAUUGAGGAUUGCAACGAACCCUUCGGGGCCACCUGUCUGGCCUCUGGUGGUCGCUUUGGUGCUGAAAGCGUGCUUACGGUUAUCAGAGUUGGUUGCCAAAAGGUUAGAACGGGUUAAUUUCGUUAAGGAUGUUGACGUAAUGG